rnacentral:rRNA from 1 species
CGGCGGACGGGUGAGUAAUGUCUGGGAAACUGCCCGAUGGAGGGGGAUAACUACUGGAAACGGUAGCUAAUACCGCAUAACGUCGCAAGACCAAAGAGGGGGACCUUAGGGCCUCUUGCCAUCGGAUGUGCCCAGAUGGGAUUAGCUAGUAGGUGGGGUAAUGGCUCACCUAGGCGACGAUCCCUAGCUGGUCUGGGAGGAUGACCAGCCACACUGGAACUGAGACACGGUCCAG